rnacentral:tRNA from 1 species
AAGGGAGACCUAAUUCAGGUAGGAGACGAAAAAAAGUAGUCGCUACCAAGAAUCAAUCCCAAAAGGUCGGAGCGAGGCGAAAUUGGCUUUCAAACUAGGUUCUGGGUUCACACAAGACCUGAAUCAGGAACAAGGGCUAUUAGCUCAGGUGGUUAGAGCGCACCCCUGAUAAGGGUGAGGUCCCUGGUUCGAGUCCAGGAUGGCCCACCUGCACAGGUGGCAAAAACAAGAGAAGCGAGGAAUCAGCACCUUAUCUUACUGACAUAGUAAGAGAGAAUGCUGGCUCUGAGUAAAGAGUCCAGAGGAACCUUGAAAACUGCAUAGAGCUAGGUGAAAAAGCCAAAAAAGAAGACCGCAA